rnacentral:rRNA from 1 species
GACGAACGCUGGCGGCGUGCUUAACACAUGCAAGUCGAACGGAAAGGCCCUGCUUUUGUGGGGUGCUCGAGUGGCGAACGGGUGAGUAACACGUGAGUAACCUGCCCUUGACUUUGGGAUAACUUCAGGAAACUGGGGCUAAUACCGGAUAGGAGCUCCUGCUUCAUGGUGGGGGUUGGAAAGUUUCGGCGGUUGGGGAUGGACUCGCGGCUUAUCAGCUUGUUGGUGGGGUAGUGGCUUACCAAGGCUUUGACGGGUAGCCGGCCUGAGAGGGUGACCGGCCACAUUGGGACUGAGAUACGGCCCAGACUCCGACGGGAGGCAGCAGUGGGGAAUAUUGCACAAUGGGCGGAAGCCUGAUGCAGCAACGCCGCGUGCGGGAUGACGGCCUUCGGGUUGUAAACCGCUUUCGCCUGUGACGAAGCGUGAGUGACGGUAAUGGGUAAAGAAGCACCGGCUAACUACGUG